CCGGAGACAACCAAUAUUGGAGCCUGAUGAUUUGUAAGCAUCACGUGGCCUACGUAUUUUCAAGAUUAAACGAGAUACCCCGCAAGAGAAACAUUCAGGACAUUGUAAGCCGAAUGAAUCAUAAGCAGCGUCGAGGGAAGUCAUAUUUGUACCAGGGACACGAAUGGGCGCCAAUUCCUGAACGCAAUGAGGCCAUCCAUCGUAUGCCUGAACAUCAACAGCUUCAGUAUCAUAUGUACGAUAUUGACCUUUGGGAUGGCUACUAAACUACAAUAUAAUAAUGUGUAAACAAGUUAAACUGAUAUUAAUGCGCAGGCCACACCGCGAACGAAGCUAAGCUGACUUCGCUUAGCUCAUGUAAGCCGGGGCAUCUUUUCAUUCUUCGGUUCACACCGCGAACUAAGCUAACCGAGCUAACUAAACUAACUCAACGAUCCCGCUAAGCUCUGUUUAAUAUGUCGCCCUUCUGCCGCCCAUCAUCCCCACACGUCACUACUUACUACGCAUUUUCUGACAUUCGUUUUGCGUGCAACUACGUAAGCUAAGCUAUCUAGGUUCGUUCGCGGUGUAGAUUUCUCUACGAAAUAGUUAUUUGUUACGUCUAUCAUGUAAUAAAUGGCAUUGAAAUACUCAUAUUUAAGUAUAAUGUAAUUGUAUUAUUUGUC